UGCUGUGAAACUGGGGGCUCAACCCCCAGCUGCAGUGGGUACGGGCAGACUAGAGUGCGGUAGGGGAGAUUGGAAUUCCUGGUGUAGCGGUGGAAUGCGCAGAUAUCAGGAGGAACACCGAUGGCGAAGGCAGAUCUCUGGGCCGAACUGACGCUGAGGAGCGAAAGGGUGGGGAGCAAACAGGCUUAGAUACCCUGGUAGUCCACCCCGUAAACGUUGGGAACUAGUUGUGGGGCCGUGACGCAGCUAACGCAUUAAGUUCCCCGCCUGGGGAGUACGGCCGCAAGGCUAAAACUCAAAGGAAUUGACGGGGACCCGCACAAGCGGCGGAGCAUGCGGAUUAAUUCGAUGCAACGCGAAGAACCUUACCAAGGCUUGACAUACAGGUGGUGCAUGGUUGUCGUCAGCUCGUGUCGUGAGAUGUUGGGUUAAGUCCCGCAACGAGCGCAACCCUCGUUCUAUGUUGCAACUCAUGGGAUACUGCCGGGGUCAACUCGGAGGAAGGUGGGGAUGACGUCAAAUCAUCAUGCCCUUAUGUCUUGGGCUUCACGCAUGCUACAAUGGCCGGUACAAAGGGCUGCAAUACCGUAAGGUGGAGCGAAUCCCAAAAAGCCGGUCCCAGUUCGGAUUGAGGUCUGCAACUCGACCUCAUGAAGUCGGAGUCGCUAGUAAUCGCAGAUCAGCACGCUGCGGUGAAUACGUUCCCGGGUCUUGCACACACCGCCCGUC
rnacentral:rRNA from 1 species